UGAUAUUUAUAAAUAGGACGCCAAAAGUAAACUUCAAACAUGCCACAAAAUGAGCAUAUUGAGCUGCAUAGAAAGCGGCAUGGCUAUCGCUUGGAUUUUCAUGAACGUAAGAGAAAGAAGGAGGGACGAAUGGCCCAUGAUCGCGCAAAGAAAGCCAAGAAAUUAAUCGGCUUGAAGGCGAAGCUGUACAACAAGCAGCGACAUCAUGAAAAGAUUCAGAUGAAGAAGACGCUGAAGAUGCAUGACAAGAGAAACACCAAGCAGAAAGAUAACGAGAAGACACCGGAUGGAGCUGUUCCUGCGUACUUGCUCGACCGUGAGAGCCAGAGUCGAGCUAAAGUUUUGUCAAACAUGAUAAAGCAGAAACGAAAGGAAAAAGCUGGCAAGUGGGAUGUACCGAUCCCGAAAGUCCGAGCACAGAGUGAAGCAGAGGUCUUCCGUGUGGUGACGACUGGGAAGAGGAAGAAAAAAGCUUGGAAGAGAAUGUGCACCAAAGUUUGCUUUGUGCCGGAUAACUUUACACGAAAACCACCAAAAUAUGAGAGGUUCAUACGCCCAAUGGCGCUCCGGUUUAAAAAAGCCCACGUUACCCACCCUGAGUUAAAAGCCACAUUUUGUCUGCCAGUAAUUGGUGUGAAAAAGAACCCCUCUUCCCCCAUGUAUACAUCAUUAGGGGUGAUAACCAAGGGUACAGUGAUUGAAAUAAACGUGAGUGAGCUUGGACUCGUCACUCAAGGUGGAAAAGUUAUUUGGGGCAAAUAUGCCCAAGUUACGAACAAUCCUGAAAACGAUGGUUGUAUUAAUGCCGUGUUGCUUGUAUGAGGUGGUGUGGUUACACAGGGGUAUUUUUACCUCUUUGAAAUAGUUACUUGCUUUCACAAGUUAUCUUCUGUGCUCUUUGAGACUAGAAAAGUGUCACUUAGGUUGCUGUUUUAGUUCACUAGAAUGUUUAUUUCAAAAUUGGAAUUUAAAUGUCAUUUAACGAUAAAGUGUGUUUCUAUAAUUUUAAAUUGGCAAAGAAACUAUGUUAUUUUUCACAAUUUUGGUUGUUUAUGUCUUGUGUGUUAAACUUAAUAUCCCUGUUAAUCCAGUUGAUAAAUGCAUAAAGUAUCAUCAACUAUACAUACUUUGCAAAAUUUAAAUCUAAUACUGAAUAAAUUCCUGUCGCUUUUAAAACAAAAACCCAAAAAAACCCAAAUGUCCAUUGCCUUGUUAAUGUUUCUCAUGCUGCAUUGCAUUGCACCAUGUAAGAUACAAUUAUAAGAAAUUAUAAAAUUCCAGAUUGCUUAGUUAGUAUCUUGACCUUUAAUUGAACCUUGUCCAUUGUGAUGUCAUACUUCAUCACUGCUCAUGAAGAAGAUGAGGAAGACUUCACAAAAGAUGUUUUCUUCACGGAGCAAGGACCAUUCGGUGUUUCCGGUUUCAAUAUGGAUGGAAAAGAGGUGGGAAUGCAUUGUGAAUUGUGCAAUGCCAAACUGGAAACAUCGGUACAACUAAUCACACAUUUUUCAAGCAAGAAACACACAGCUAAAGUAAAACAACUGAGAACAUCGAAAGAGUUGGUAUUGGAGUCCUCUACAGGCAAGGAAGAUGAUCCAGAUAAUAUGUUCCUUUCUGAUCUUUGUAAAGUUUGUAAUGCUGAGUUAAACACUACAGAUCAAUCACAAGCUCAUUAUAUGAGUGAUAAGCAUCAGAAAAAAGUGAGACAUUAUUUUCUGGUGAAAGUUGGGGCAUUACCAGAGAAAGGUGAA